GACGAACGCUGGCGGCGUGCUUAACACAUGCAAGUCGAACGGAAAGGCCCUGCUCUUGCGGCGUGCUCGAGUGGCGAACGGGUGAGUAAAACGUGAGUAAAAUGCCCUUGACUUUGGGAUAACUUCAGGAAAAAGGGGCUAAUAUAGGAUAGGAGCUCCUGCUGCGUGGGGGGGGUUGGAAAGAUUCGGCGGUAGGGGAUGGACUCGCGGCUUAUCAGCUUGUUGGUGGGGUAGUGGAUUACCAAGGCUGUGACGGCUAGCCGGCCUGGGAGGGUGACCAGCCACAUGAGUACUGAGAUACGGAGCAGUCGGCUACGGGAGGCAGUGGUGGAGAAUAUUGCAGAGUGGGCGGGAGCCAGUUGCAACAAUCUCGCGAGCGGGAUGCUGGCUUACUGGUUGUGAACCGCUUUGGCCUUUGAUGAAGCCUUAGUGACGGUAAUUAGUAAAGAAGCACCGGCUAACUACGUG
rnacentral:rRNA from 1 species